CUUGAUCGACCCCAGCAGCAACGGCCGGUCCUCGGCACGCUCCUGCCCGUAGGUGGCCAGCAGCGCCUGCGCCUC
rnacentral:antisense_RNA from 1 species